rnacentral:lncRNA from 10 species
AAAAGAAAAAAGCAAUGCCUGCAUUUUUAGAAUGAGAGUCAUCCUCCAAAGGUUGCCCCUUAAAAGUAAAGAAUUGUAACUCUGUCAUCUUUGUGGUCAAAUUCCUUUUCCUCUUGGAAAUAAAAGAAUGUUCUUUGACUGUGAUUUUCUUUCUUUCUCAUCAGCCAUGAGUGAUGAAAGACAGAUACCAACAAAUGAAAUUAGACUCUCUCUGACUAUCCUCAGAUCAGAAACUCUUGAGAAUGAAGAAUAGUUCUUCUGGUGUGAGGAUCCACUGGGUUGCCACUGACCCAUUGCCUGAGGGACACAACAUGGAGAAGUGUCUUUAAGUGAAUGCUUCCAAGUAAAUGCAAGGACAGCCUUUAACCAUUCAGAAGUUCCUAAUAAGAAAACUGCAGCAUCACCAGAACGGAGCACUUCAGAGAGUGGGUUACUUGGCUGAUAGAAAUUUCACCAUUCUCCACAGGAACUCCACACCUCCACUUGCUGAAUUGUGUGCCAAAACCUUCACUAGCUAGUGUUUUUCCAGUGAGACAUAUCAGUUCUUUUUCUAUCUCUACAGCCCAUUCUAUCACAUGAACUAACUGAUUACGAGGUGAGUUGAAAUCAGACAGGCACCUUUCCCUAAGAACUAAUUCAUGUCAAAUUCUGGGUUUUAAUUGGCCAAUAAUUUCCUAGUUAAGGUGAUAGCUAUUAAAUAAAAGUGACACUUUUAAGUUUAAGGUGUUAUCUAUUUUAGAAAAAGAAAACACCUAUUCUCAAAUGGAGAUGUUAAGACUUAAAAGGAAUAGAAGUAUAAUAUGAAAAUGAUAAACAGAGAGGUAGGCAGAUUUAUGUGCACUUUCCUCCUGCAUCAUACCACAUGACUGUCAUCUUUCCCAUAUCUGGGUAACAUCUGGCCUUUCAUUUUUCUUGCAUAAUAUGUUUUGAGCACCUCACAGACUGAUCACAUAGUAAGAUAAAGUUUAAAAUGCUUUUUAUCUUAAUAUUUUCUGUUUGGCAAUAAAUGGUCAGACUAGUUGACAGCUGAAAAUAUUUUUGACUAUACAAAUUGGAUAUUGACAGUUUCUUAUUCUGUGGUCCUAACUGAAGAAAGAAAAUAAGUAUCUCCCUCUCUCCUUUUCUUCUUUCUUUUCUUCCUUAUUUUCCUUCUUCUUUUUUCAUUUCUUUCCUUCCUUCCUCCCUGCUUCCCACCCGUCUCCCUCCCUCUCUCCCCCUUCCUCCCUCCCUCUCUCUCUUUCUCUCUUUUUCUUUCUCUUUCUUUCUUUCUUUCUUUCUUUCUUUCUUUCUUUCUUUCUUUCUUUCUUCCUUCCUUUCUUUCUUCCUUUCUUUCUUUUUCUCUCUCUCUUUCUUUCUUUCUUUCUUCCUUUCUUCCUUUCUUUCUUUUUCUUUCUUUCUCUCUCUCUUUCUUUCUUUCUUUCUUUCUUUCUUUCUUUCUUUCUUUCUUUCUUUCUUUCUUUCUCUUUCUUUCUUUCUCUUUCUUUCUUUCUUCCUUUCUUCCUUUCUUCCUUCCUCCCUGCCUUCCUGCCUUACUUCUUUUUCUUUCUUUCAUCCUUUUCCAUUCUUCCUCUCUCUCCCUCUCCUCUUUUCUUUCUUCUUCCUCUCCUUAUUUUAUGUGGGAUUAAGACCUGGAAUCUUUACAAUCGUAUUAAGAUCAAAGAAGCAAAACACUAGGUUUAGUAGGGCAAACCAAAUGUACAACUUUUUAGGCCUAUAUGUGUGUAUCUAUUAGGAAAAGUUCACUUCAUUAAUACCAGUAUGUAUUAAAAAUUGACAAUCAAUUUGAGAAAAGAACAAUAAUUUUUAAAAGGGAAAGUAAGAAGUGUUGCUGUUGUUUUGUCAUCUCCAACUAACAUAAGCAUUUAUGGCAGUAUCAGGGGAAAGUAGAAUGUUAGAGAAUGGUGAAGCAGGGUUGAGAGGUCAGGUCUCUGGGAACCACUCUUUUCUAUGUCAUUUACUGCUAAAAUGACCUUUGUCAAGUCAUUACAUGUCCCUGGGGCUCAGUUUCUGCCUUUUUCAAUGGCUAGAUGUAAUGAGACUACUACUAAAAUAACUUAACUGAAUAUCACUUACAGGGUAUUUUAUCCUCUUCAUUCAUUCCCAUAUAGGAAGCAGAGAUAACAG